GACGAACGCUGGCGGCGUGCUUAACACAUGCAAGUCGAGCGGUAAGGCCCUUUCGGGGUACACGAGCGGCGAACGGGUGAGUAACACGUGGAUGACCUGCCCUCAGCUCUGGGAUACGCCCGGGAAACUGGGUCUAAUACUGGAUAUGGCUCCACGGUGCAUGCCGUGGGGUGGAAAGCCUUGUGCGGCUUGAGGAUUGGGCCCG
rnacentral:rRNA from 1 species